CAGGACACCAUCUCUUGGAACUGGAACUCCAACGGCGAAUAUUCGGCCGGCUCGGCCUAUCGGGCGCAAUUCCUUGGCUCUCACCAGAGGUUCUAGAGCGACAAAAUCUGGAAGGCGCAUGUAGAACCAAAGUGCAAGCUUUUCUUCUGGAUGGUCCUCCAUAACAGGAUCCUCACGAUUGAUUGGAUCCAUACGUGA
rnacentral:rRNA from 1 species